rnacentral:siRNA from 1 species
UACCAAUGGAUCCUUCUGAGCCUU